CACACAGGCGUGCCAUUGUCAUCGUGCGGGACGUUUUUCUGUUUGCGUCUGCAUCUUCACUCGAUAGUUGACGCGGCGGUCAAUGGCGCUGGAAGUACCACGCCCGCUGCGCCUUUCCGAGUCGGAUUAGCUCCUUGCAUGGGAGGUGGAUCUGGAAUCGAGAUGGUCGCAGCUCCAGCAGCGCCGCCGCAGAGCCGAGGAACUUCGAGCAAAGCAGAUCCAGCGGGAGGCGUCUCUGCUGGAGCUGAGCAACGGGAAUGUUGCAGCACAGUACGUUCUAGAAGAGCGCAGGCGCGCGUUGGCAACGCGCCGCACACAGCUGCGCGAAUCAGAGGCCGCACUGAAGCAGCGCACCGUCGAGGACGCUAAGGCGUCUCGCCGAAAGCAGGAGUCGAUGGCAGAGGGGGCCGCUGCAAUUGACGCGGCGUGGCGGGAGCUAGAGCAGCGCACACGGCUAGAGGAGGCAUCUCAUGUACAGCAGAUGCGUGCUCUGGACGCAAGAAAGCAAAGGGCUCAAGGGUGCGAUGCAGACACACGACAGCGGCUAAGCGCACUACGCGAGGGGGAGACGCAGCUUGUGGCACAGAAAGAAGUACUGGGGUAUCACCGACAGAGGUGCAUAGAUCUGCUGUGGCAGUCGCUCGGGCAGCUACAGCGCGAGGUGGAGGAACAUAAAACACUUCUCACGGCUCUCGAUGACAUCAAAGAACCGGGAGAGGUUCUGCUGUUCUCCUCGGUGAGCUUCAUUCCGUCACCUGCCUUGUGCGCCAAUCCGAAGUUGAACUCGUAUGUCUCUGUUUUUGUGUAGAAAUGCGUUUCGAGCUGCUUGACUAAGGCUUCAGUUGAGAGCACUGACGAUAGUGUCGGAAUCGAUGCGUGACCUUGCGCACGAAGAUGAGGUUGAAGGACGGGUACCCGAAGGAGCGCAAAGUUGCCCAAUGUAGUUUGAUAAACAUCUCUGCUAGUUUUCUUGCGAGGGGGCGUGACGCCUGCGACCGCGUUUCUCCGCGCGACUGCUCUUCUCUCCACUUCAUUCUAUAUGCCCCCCCCCCUUCCUCACUGCUUCCUUGGCCGGAAUAGUUUUUAGGCAGCAGAUGAUUUACCAACACUGACACACUAUUGCCGUCAUUCAACGAGUACGUCAGACGUAAGGCGCGCAUGGAGAAGAGGCGACAUCGUCUUAUGACGGCGGUGCUCUUGUAAGGGUGCCGCGUGCGUUGUGCACCUCUGGCCCGCACAACAUACGGGAAUGGCACUGUUUCAAUGAGUUCGCUUUCAUCGACUUCACUUUCGUUCUUUGGUUGGUUUUCACCGUCGUUGUUUUCCUUGACGUGCUCGCGUGCGCCGCUCUCUCCCUCUCUCUGUGUCUCAUCACUGUCUUGACGGCGCACGCACUGUUCUUGAUCAUGUGACUUCUGUGCACACACUUCCACGCAUACGGUGACUUGUCGCAG
rnacentral:misc_RNA from 1 species